GGCAAUAUGGCCGAGUGGUCUAAGGCGCCAGAAUCAGGAUCCGCAGAUUCAUCUGGUCCUCCGGGGCGAGGGUUCGAAUCCCUCUGUUGUCA